rnacentral:rRNA from 1 species
GAUGAACGCUGGCGGCGUGCCUAAUACAUGCCAGUCGAGCGAACAGACGAGGAGCUUGCUCCUUUGACGUUAGCGGCGGACGGGUGAGUAACACGUGGAUAACCUACCUAUAAGACUGGGAUAACUUCGGGAAACCGGAGCUAAUACCGGAUAACAUGUUGAACCGCAUGGUUCAACAGUGAAAGACGGUCUUGCUGUCACCUAUAGAUGGAUCCGCGCCGCAUUAGCUAGUUGGUAAGGUAACGGCUUACCAAGGCAACGAUGCGUAGCCGACCUGAGAGGGUGAUCGGCCACACUGGAACUGAGACACGGUCCAGACUCCUACGGGAGGCAGCAGUAGGGAAUCUUCCGCAAUGGGCGAAAGCCUGACGGAGCAACGCCGCGUGAGUGAAGAAGGUCUUCGGAUCGUAAAACUCUGUUAUUAGGGAAGAACAAAUGUGUAAGUAACUAUGCACGUCUUGACGGUACCUAAUCAGAAAGCCACGGCUAACUACGUG